GACGAAGGAUGCAAGCGUUAUCCGGAUUCAUUGGGUUUAAAGGGUGCGUAGGCGGACUUGUAAGUCAGUGGUGAAAUCUCUUUGCUUAACAAAGAAACUGCCAUUGAUACUGCAGGUCUAGAGUAUAGAUGACGUUGGCGGAAUAUGACAUGUAGUGGUGAAAUACUUAGAUAUGUCAUAGAACACCGAUUGCGAAGGCAGCUAACGAAACUAUAACUGACGCUGAGGCACGAAAGUGCGGGGAUCAAACAAG
rnacentral:rRNA from 1 species